UACGUAGGGUGCAAGCGUUGUCCGGAAUUAUUGGGCGUAAAGAGCUCGUAGGCGGCUUGUCACGUCGACUGUGAAAACCCGGGGCUCAACCCUGGAAAGCCGGUGGAUACUGUCGGGCUAGAGUCCGGAAGAGGCGAGUGGAAUUCCUGGUGUAGCGGUGGAAUGCGCAGAUAUCAGGAGGAACACCGAUGGCGAAGGCAGCUCGCUGGGACGGUACUGACGCUCAUGCACGACAGCGUGGGGAUCAAACAGG
rnacentral:rRNA from 1 species